UACAGAGGUCUCAAGCGUUGUUCGGAUUCAUUGGGCGUAAAGGGUGCGUAGGUGGCGCUGUAAGUCGGGUGUGAAAUUUCGGAGCUUAACUCCGAAACUGCAUUCGAUACUGCGGUGCUUGAGGACUGGAGAGGAGACUGGAAUUCAUGGUGUGGCAGUGAAAUGCGUAGAGAUCAUGAGGAAGACCAGUGGCGAAGGCGGGUCUCUGGACAGUUCCUGACGCUGAGGCACGAAGGUCAGGGGAGCAAACGGG
rnacentral:rRNA from 1 species